GGAAGGAAACAAAGCUUAAGGCAGUGAUUGAUAGGUUAUUUUUUGGACACAGCUGAGCGUAUACUGUGCGCCUGCAACUUUCCGGUGCUUUCGGACCGGACUCCAGUGAAGCCAGUCAAGGAGGUCGACUUCCUUUCAGAGCGGCAGACACAGCGCCGCGGCCGUGUACCUGCAAUCCCCUUCUGGGUUUGAAAAAGAAGAUCCUAGACACCGAGCCAAAUAUGUUUGCAUAAACUGGGAGCCUCAUCUCUCUUUUUUGUAACAGCUUGGCGCAGGACAGCUGGUUUGGAGAUGUCUCUGUUCUUCCCUUGGUGGGGGUGCCGGAAAAAAAUGUGCUGCCUGGGCGAUCGAGGUUGGGGCAAAAAGCGUUGUGAAGGAAACAGUGGGAGGACUCUACUUUCACACCUCCCAAAAGGGUUUUACCAUAAGACUAUUUCUGGAUUGUUCUAACGUGAGGAUAUUGGGAGCAUUUUGAAAAUAUUGGAGGAAAAGCUGUCACUGGGCGAUUUAAAUCCAAGACAGAGUCUCACUUUGUCACCCAGGUUGGAGUUGCAGUAAGCCGAGAUCACGCCACUGCACUCUAGCCUGGGUGACAGAGCAAAACUCUGUCUAAAAACAAAAAAAAAAAAGUUAUUUUUAUCAAUAUAUAUUAACAUGCAAUGGUUUUAUUAUUAUUAUUAUUUUAUUUAUUUAUGUUUUGCUUGAGACAGAGUCUUGCUCUGCCACCCAGGCUGGAGUGCAAUGGUACAAUCAUGGCUCACUGCAACCUCCACCUCCCAGGUUCAGAUGAUUCUCCUGCCUUAGCCUCCAGAAGUAGCUGGGAUUAUAGGCGCACACCACCACGCCCAGCUAAGUUUUGUAUUUUUAGUACAGAUGGGGUUUCACCAUGUUGGCCAGGCUGGUCAUGAACUCCGGACCUCAGGUGAUCCACCCCUCUCGGCCUCCCAAAGUGCUGGGAUUGUAGGUGUGAGCCACCAUGCCCAGCCAGAUUUAUUAUUUUAAUGACUUAAUAAAAUUUUAAAUUUUAAAUAUUUAAAUUAAAUAUUUAAAACUUUCUCAGUGUUAAUUUCUAAUUUGGCAAAUAUCAAGAGAAAGACUGUGUUAAAAAGAUUCUUUGGGAUCCUCAGUAAUUUCUAGGUGUGUAAAUUGAUCCUGAGACCAGAGUUUGAGACUUACUGGUCUCAGCCACCCAGAGUAGCCAGUUGCCCCAUCCUCCUUGCCACUAGGAAUGGUUCAUGGGUAGCCAUAGGAACCACGUUGAUCCAAUCAGAGGAAGUCUCAGGAAUUUAUUAGAUGCUGGGGGAGAGAGGCUUUCAUGUUCUGCUAGACAAGAACCAGGCAGUAAGUAGCCUCAGAAGCUGUUGAUAAGACAGACAUCUUGGACUACAAGAAGAGCUUAUUUUAGGAAGAAAGUAAUGCUAUGGGAAGCAGAAGACCAUUGUUAGAAAGAAACCAUUUCCUUUAUGACAUAUUUGAGUCACUAGAUCAAACCAGUCCUGAAGUCCAUCUUGCCUCUGUACAUUUCAGUUGUAUGAGAUAGGAAGUUCCUCUGUGGUUUCAACUAGCCAACCCCAGGUGCCCCAACUGAUUUGCCAUGUACCUAUUUACGCAACACAAGUUGCAAUGAUGAAAUGAGGCUGGAAGGCAGAGAAGAGUCCAGGAGGAAAAUACCUAAUUCAGACAAAUGGGAUCUUCAGUGGCAUGUGAUCAUAAGCAGCAAGAUUAUAGCAGAUUUUUACUUCUUAUUUUUAUUUUUGUUGUUCUGUGUUUCCCGUAUUGGACAACAUGCAUAUGUAUUGCUUUUACACUGAAGAAAAAUUGGAACCUAUAUUAUUACUUUUUUUGAUAGUACAAUGACUGGCAGUGCAAUAUUAGAGAACAGGUUGGGGAAUGGGAUAUGGCGAUAGAACUCUUAGGCUAGAACUGCUAGCAGGGAAGAAAGAAGAUUUGUAAGGGAUGCAGAUGGGCCCCAAAACCAAACUUACUUCCCUUUACAGCUUUGCCAAGAGCCAACCUCAAAGAUUCCAGGGGAUGGACAAGAAUCCCCAAAGGUUAAGAAAUCAUUAAUUGUGCCUCAGUCUAAUUGGCUGGAAUAUUUGCAGGAAAAAAAAAUGUGGCCAAUGUGAAGAUCAUAUGUCAAUACUGGAAAAGACUUAGGAUAUAAUAUUAAGUGAAAAAAAUAAAAAAGGCAACACAGAUUGUAUGCAAACAUCUAUCAUGUGGCCAAAAACUGGAAGAUAAUUUGGAAAAAAGAAAAUAGUUGUGUUAGGGUGGUGGGAUCACAAAUAAUCUUUCUUCCUUUUUUAGCAAAUCUGUUUUAAUGUUGUUAUAAUGUUGUUUUUUGCAAUAAGUAAAAAUGUAGGGAGUCAUUGGUUCAAAUUACUGAGGUCUCAGAGGCCUCUCCAGAUGGCCUGUUUCUUUUCGUCUGCCAAAUGGCCCUCACCCCAUACCAAGACAGAAGCUGUGCCUUCCCUGAGAGCCCAGUGUCUUUGAAACUGUUAGGGGUGAUGCUGAUGUGACUGUUUUGUAGGUGGCCAGAAGGAAAGGAGGGAAGAAAGAUGUUGGUGGCAGCCAAGACCGAGGAUGUCUGUGAGGCAGGAGGGGUGAGGGGUCACUUGCCCUGUGAUAUAACCUUUUUGUGUUG